rnacentral:rRNA from 1 species
GACGAACGCUGGCGGCGUGCUUAACACAUGCAAGUCAAGGGGGCCCGCAAGGGUAACCGGCGAACGGGUGCGUAACACGUGAGCAAUCUGCCUAGAUGUGGGGGAUAGCCGGCCCAACGGCCGGGUAAUACCGCAUACGCUCGUCGACUGGCAUCAGUUGACGAGGAAACUUUCGAGGCAUCUAGAGGAGCUCGCGGCCUAUCAGCUAGUUGGUGGGGUAACGGCCUACCAAGGCGGUGACGGGUAGCUGGUCUGAGAGGAUGGCCAGCCACAUUGGGACUGAGAUACGGCCCAGACUCCUACGGGAGGCAGCAGUGGGGAAUAAUUGCGGCAAAUGGCCGAAAGGCUGACGCAGCGACGCCGCGUGGGGGAUGAAGCAUUCGGUGUGUAAACCCCUGUUGCUCGGGACGAACAAGCCUUUUCGAGGGCUCUGACGGUACCGAGUGAGGAAGCACCGGCUAACUCCGUGCCAGC